UCCAAUGAACGCAUAGUGAGGGC
rnacentral:piRNA from 1 species